rnacentral:rRNA from 1 species
AUGGGGACCCUCCAGGGAGAAGAAGAUAAAUGCGAUGAGGCUUUAGUUGCUUCGGCGGACUCGCCCCAGCCCGGACGCGGACUGGACCGGCGGCCCGCCGGGGACCUCAAACUCUUGUAUUCCAGCAUCUUCUGAAUACGCCGCAAGGCAAAACAAAUGAAUCAAAACUUUCAACAACGGAUCUCUUGGCUCUGGCAUCGAUGAAGAACGCAGCGAAACGCGAUAAGUAAUGUGAAUUGCAGAAUCCAGUGAAUCAUCGAAUCUUUGAACGCACAUUGCGCCCGCCAGCAUUCUGGCGGGCAUGCCUGUUCGAGCGUCAUUUCAACCCUCGACCUCCCCUUGGGGAGGUCGGCGUUGGGGACCGGCAGCACACCGCCGGCCCUGAAAUGGAGUGGCGGCCCGUCCGCGGCGACCUCUGCGCAGUAAUACAGCUCGCACCGGGACCCCGACGCGGCCACGCCGUAAAACACCCAACUUCUGAACGUUGACCUCGAAUCAGGUAGGACUACCCGCUGAACUUAAGCAUAUCAAUAGGCCGGAGGAACAGGUCAAAUUGCGAAGUCCCACCCCAAGAAGAAGAAAGUUUUUUUUGCUUGAGAAUAGCAAAUCCGACUGGGAGGGACGGCGUCGCCAGGGAAUCAACCUUAAAGCAGCUCUUUGGAGACCCUAGGGAAAAAAAGAAAUAUAACAUUCAAAGGAUCUUGUGCUCUGGAUCAUGAAGCACCCCCAAGCCAAAAGCAUAGGUGAAAUGCACAAGCCCGGAAUUUCGAAUCUAUUUACCUCAAUUCGCGCGCCCCCCUAGGGAGAAGUGGGGAGUCCCUCUCUCGAGGAGAGGGUGGUUUGAGGACACGAUCACGCCCUUAAUAGUAAAUUAACCCUCCCCAGCCCACGGCCAAACCCACUCACGGCACCCCAGCACCCACCCUUAAAAACCCAAGCUUAUAAGUUCUCGUCCAUAUCUUAGCACACACUAUACAUAAUAGAAUAAUACGGAUAAAGUUUUUGCCCCCUUCGCCACCUUCAAGUAAUCAGAUGGUCGUCCCUCCAUGGGGGGUCU